CCUACGGGUGGCAGCAGUGGGGGAUAUUGCACAAUGUGGGAAACCCUGAUGCAGCGACGCCGCGUGGGUGAAGAAGCGCCUCGGCGCGUAAAGCCCUGUCAGCAGGGAAGAAAAUGACGGUACCUGAAGAAGAAGCCCCGGCUAACUACGUGCCAACAACCGCGGUAAUACGUAGGGGGCAAGCGUUAGCCGGCUUUACUGGGUGUAAAGGGGGCGCAGACGGCGAUGCAAGCCAGGAGUGAAAGCCCGGGGCCCAACCCCGGGACUGCUCUUGGAACUGCGUGGCUAGAGUGCAGGAGGGGCAGGCGGAAUUCCUGGUGUAGCGGUGAAAUGCGUAGAUAUCAGGAGGAACACCGGUGGCGAAGGCGGCCUGCUGGACUGCAACUGACGUUGAGGCCCGAAAGCGUGGGGAGCAAACAGGAUUAGAUACCCCAGUAGUC
rnacentral:rRNA from 1 species